ensembl:lncRNA
AGAGAGAAGGAGAGAGAGAAGGAGAGAGAGAAGGAGAAGGAGGGUGACAGAAGGUGGCUGUAUCCAUGGUUGCAUGGCUCGAAUGAUUUGGGUCAGUGCAUGGAUUCAGAUGAUCUGAGGUAAGAGUCACACACUGAAUAUGAUCAUAGUUAACUGUAAGUGGAGUAAGUGGAGUAUUGUCCAGUAUUAUUGUGUGCAGUGGUGUGUACAAUUCAUUGGUAUUUUUAAACUGGCGUGUAAAUAAUUUUAACAGGAUAACACCUGUUAAAUGGGGUCCUCAAAUAUCGCAUUAUAACAUUGCCUUAUGAACUGAAAUCGUAUGAUAUAUGUGUGUGUGUGUGUGUGUGUGUGUGUGUGUGUGUGUGUGUGUGUGUGUGUGUGGAAGCCUGAGGUUUACACAUCUGCUAUUCUCGACUGAGAUACUAUACGCACAAUGCCCUAAGUGUUUUUAUGCGGGAUGUACUGUUCCAACGCUUGUGGUAAUUAAUGCUCACUCUUAGUGCUAGCGUAACUUUGGAAACCCGUAACUACACUAGCGUAAACAAACACAGUGAAGACAGCACUGCCUGGACAAACACAAGCUCCGUGCUAAAGGAACGUCAGGGUUUCAGCAGUAAACCUGUCUCUAAUGACUUUUCGGUUUGAAUCAGGAGCUCCGUGUUGCUUAUCGUGCAGCAGAUGAGUGAAUAAUCAAGCGCACACGGUGAACUGCUGUGUAACUGAUUGUGAUGGAUUUCACACACACACACACACACACUCACACACACACACUCCACUCCACUGGAUCUUACUCUCCACUAGAUUCUGUGCACGAACUGCACCAAAUUUGGUUUUGAUCUCCCCCUGUGUCGCCGCCUCUCACAGGCGGAGCGAGCGCUUAUCUCUGAAUUAUUGAACGAGUCUCCGUCUCAGUGUGUUUCAGAAGCACGGUGUAUUCGGCAUUAAGCAGCCCCCCUGUCAGAAACCUAUUUAAUAAUACACAGAGGAGCACAAACACACUUUCAAAUUGAGAGCGAUUGCACGGCGUCCCUGAAGAUGAUCGUUCGUUCAUCCCUCCGUCUCGCCCCUCUGUCUGUCUGAGUGAAGAAUGAGCCGGGAUUCACAAAGUGAACGCUUCAAAUCACAUUCCUGUCAGAGCAAACAGGAGGAGUGGAGAGACACUGUGCAUGAAGAGUCAGUACAAACACACACACACACACACACACUGACAUACACAUACUCACACUAUACGCACACACACAAAUGGGAUUUUAGAGUGUAUGCAAGUUCAAAUCCCAGAACUGCCAAGCACGUCAGUAAUUAAGUCAGUGAGUAAGUCAGUAAAUUAGUAAAUCAGUAAUUAAGUCAGUGAGUAAGUCAGUAAAUUAGUAAAUCAGUAAUUAAGUCAGUGAGUAAGUCAGUGAGUAAGUCGGUAAAUUAGUAAGUCAGUAAUUAGGUCAGUAAUUAAGUCAGUAGUUAAGUCAGUAGGUAAGUCAGUGAGUAAGUCAGUAAAUUAGUAAGUCAGUAAUAAAGUCAGUAAGUCAGUAAUCAAGUCAGUGAGUAAUUCAGUAAAUUAGUCAGUAAUUAAGUCAGUAAGUCAGUAAAUUAGUUAGUCAGUAAUUAAGUCAGUAAGAAGGUCAGUGGAUAAGUCAGUAAAUUAGUAAGUCAGUAAUAAAGUCAGUAAGUGAGUCAGUAAUCAAGUCAGUGAGUAAGUCAGUAAAUUAGUUAGUCAGUAAUUAAGUCAGUGAGUAAGUCAGUAAAUUAGUAAGUCGGUAAUUAAGUCAGUAAUCAAGUCAGUAAGUAAGUCAGUAAUCAAGUCAGUGAGUAAGUCAGUAAUUUAGUUAGUCAGUAAUUAAGUCAGUAAGUUAGUAAGUCAGUAUUUAAUUCCGUAAGUGAGUCAGUAAGUUAUUAAAGAGUAAGGCAGCACAUGAGUCAUUAAUUCAUUAAGUGAGUAAGUUGCUAAGUUAGUGAGUUAUUAAGUCUGUAAAUUAUUAAGUCAGUAAUUAAUUCAGUGAGUCAUUACAUUAUUAAAUAAGUGAGACGGUUAGUAAGUUGGUAAGUCAGGAAGUAAGUGAGUAAUUCAGUCAGUAAGUGAGUCAGUUAGCUAUUAAGUCAGUGAUUAUGUCGGUAAGUCAGUAAUUUAGUAAAUCAGUAAAUUAGUACAUCAGUGAGUAAGUCAGGAAGUAAGUGAGUAAGUGCUAAGUUAGUAAGUCAGUAUGUUAAUAAGUAACGUUAAUAAGUAUGUUCUUAAUGAGUUAGUUAACGUUAAUGAGUAAGUCAGUAAGUGAGUAAGUACUAAGUUAGUAAGUCAGUAAGUUAAGUCAGUUAUUAAAUGAGUCAGUAAGUGAGUAAGUGAGUGAGUCAGUCAGUCAUUAAAGCAGUCAGCUUUAGUAAGCUGCCACUGUAGUGCCCUUGAGCAAUGCCCUAAACCCUCCUCUGUUCAGCUCAGGUAUAACUUUGGAGAACAAGCGUCUUCCGAAUGCAUAAACAUAAAAGUUUUCAGUGACAGCUGCUGAUUUAAAGGCUGUGAUUUUAAUACUAUGCAUAGUACAGUAAAAUAGUGCAGUAAAGUAGUACAGCAAAAAGUACAGUAAAAUAGUACAGUUAAAUAGUACAGUAAAGUAGUACAAUAAAAUAGUACAGUAAAAUAGUACAGUAAAUAGUACAGUAAAGUAGUACAGUAAAUAGUACAGUAAAAUAGUACACUUAAAUAGUACAGUAAAGUAGUACAGUAAAAUAGUACAGUAAAAUAGUACACUUAAAUAGUACAGUAAAGUAGUACAGUAAAUAGUACAAUAAAAUAGUACAGUUAAAUAGUACAAUAAAUAGUACAGUAAAAUAGUACAGUAAAAAAGUACAGUAAAAUAGUACACUUAAAUAGUACAGUAAAGUAGUACAGUAAAAUAGUACAAUAAAAUAGUACAGUUAAAUAGUACAGUAAAAUAGUUACAAUAAAAUAGUACAGUAAAAUAGUACAAUAAAGUAGUACAGUAAAAUAGUACAGUUAAAUUGUACAGUAAAAAGUACAGUAAAACAGUACAGUUAAAUAGUACAGUAAAGUAGUACAAUUAAACAGAACAGUAAAGUAGUACAGUAAUACUACAGUAAAGUAAUAUGGUAAAAUAAUUCAGUAAAAUAGUACAGUAAGUAGUACAGUAAAGUAGUACAGUAAAAUAGUACAGUAAAGUAGUACAGUAAAAUAGUAUGGUAAAAUAGUGCAUAAAAUAGUACAGUAAAGUAAUACAGUAAAGAAGUACGGUAAAGAAGUACAGGGGCGGAAAAGGGGGUGAGAGGGAAAACAUCUUAUUUUUAUCAGGAAGACAUCGCUCUCUCUCUCUCUCUCUCUCUCUCUUCUCCUCUCU